ACCUUGCAAAAAUUAGACAUGUUUUACUGCUCACUGCCUUAAAAAAAUGUCUCAGAGCAAACCACACUGCAACCCUGACGAUGCCUGCAUCAGGAAGAGGAGAAACCGAUGCCCAGUAUCACCAUGUUACUUAGAAUGUCAGCAGCGGGCCUCAGCCUUGUGCAGGGACUCUGAACCUGCCACUCCUACAUAGACAUACCUAGACAUCAAAGACAGGAGCCAUCAAUGUCAUAGAAGAUCUAGAAAGGAUUGUCCAGUAUGGACCACACAAUUCCCUUCUGUACAUCUCAGAAAACAUAAGGACAUGCAGACUCAGCCAAUCAGCCAUGAGCAGACUCUGACUAUCUGGGGAUAGUGUUAGAGAUCGAGAACGAUGAAAAGAACAUAAAGUCGGGUGAUAAGGAAGUGAAGAGGAUCUAAGAGGAAUUGGGCUCUACCUUUUGAACCCCAAUGCACUAGAUAUUGACAAGAUCCAAGGAUGAACCUACAGGAAAUACAUGUGCUCAAGUGAAGACGCAGCCAAGCUUUACCUCCAGAU
rnacentral:lncRNA from 1 species